rnacentral:rRNA from 1 species
CCUACGGGGGGCAGCAGUGAGGAAUAUUGGUCAAUGGGCGCAAGCCUGAACCAGCCAAGUCGCGUGAGGGAUGACGGUCCUAUGGAUUGUAAACCUCUUUUGUCGGGGAGCAAGGCCCGCCACGUGUGGCGUUUUGCGAGUACCUGAAGAAAAAGCAUCGGCUAACUCCGUGCCAGCAGCCGCGGUAAUACGGAGGAUGUGAGCGUUAUCCGGAUUUAUUGGGUUUAAAGGGUGCGCAGGCGGAAUGUAAAGUCAGCGGUAAAAUUUCGGGGCUCAACCCCGUCGUGCCGUUGAAACUGGCGUUCUUGAGUGAGCGAGAAGUAGGCGGAAUUCGUGGUGUAGCGGUGAAAUGCAUAGAUAUCACGCAGAACUCCGAUUGCGAAGGCAGCAUACCGGCGCUCAACUGACGCUCAUGCACGAAAGCGUGGGUAUCGAACAGGAUUAGAUACCCGGGUAGUC